GAUUAUACCAUGAGCAUGCAGUGUGUGCACGAGUGAGCCCCCCCCCACACACACAACACACACACACACGGCUUGUAUGGAUUGAACAUAGGUCCUUAUGUUGGCAAAGCAAGUACCUCGCUGACACCCCUAUCUCCCUAGCACACGUUUUUCUUCUAAUGAGUAUCAGAUUUGCAUCAGGUUUUGUGUAGGCUUCCUACAAAUCUGAAAAUACUUUGUAUGCAUUGAAAAUAUUCUUUAAUUGGACAAAAGAGGAAGAGGGCUGCAUUUUCACAGUCACAGCUCAGACCGGGAAUUUCACCAAGGAGGAGCAGUGAGUUGCAUGAUGGCUUCAGGGCCUUCCUAUUCCCUGCCCACUCACCCAAAUUAACAAUGUGCCCCGGACUUUCAUGCAUUUUCUUAUUUGACACUUACAAUAGCCCUGAGAGGAAAUUUGGACCAGACAUAUUAUCAUUAUUUUCCAAAUGAGAAAAUGGAAUCUGAGAAAGGCAGACUUGUAAUAAAAGAAUCAAAGUAUAUUAAAUCUGGAGGGCAUUUGGAAGAUCGUGUGGUGCAACCUUUUCAUUUUAUGAAUGGAAAAUGAAGCCUAGAUCAGCAAGUGACUUGCCCAAGGCCUUAUGGCCAUUGGCAGGGCUGGGAUUUAAACUUAUUUGCCUUUAUUGUUUUGGUCCUUCCUCAUUUGGCCACAGCAGUCAGUUCUUAAAGGCAGAUUGUUGUCUCAACUAAUCUGGUACCCAUCCUUUACUCAAUUAUUGUCAUCCAAGAACUAAAAAACUCCUUAUAAAGUUCAUUUUUGUUUUUUGUAUAGAUAGACAAGAGUACUUGACUAGGAAGAUGCAGUUAGAGUACCGAACUGUAUUCAGUUUUUAUCAAUGAAUCAUUAAGAGUUUCCACUUGGGCUGGAGAGAUGGCUCAGUGGUUAAGGGCACUGACUGUUCUUCCAGAGGACCUGAGUUCAAAUCCCAGCAACCACAUGGUGGCUCAUGACCAUCUGUCAUGAGAUCUGAUGUCCCCCUCUGGUGCACUGAAGACAGCUACAGUGUACUUAUAUAAAUAAAAUAAAUAAAUCUUUUUUUUAAAAAAAAGAGUUUCCACUCACAGGACUGGGACACAUGACAGAGUAAUCUAAUUGACAGCUCAGGCAAGUGAUGUCAGGGUCCAGUGAAACCCAGGAGUGUGUGUUGUCAGGCUAGUCUAGCAUACAUGGAUGGUGAGAAAGAUGGGUCGAGUUUGGCAGAAGCCUGAGUACAGAGUCCAAAGGAUGAGACUGAAUCUGGUUGGUGAGUCAUGACAUUGAAGCAAGAGGUCCAAGAGUGGGAUGUAUUCUCUAAGGACAUGUACAGCUAGUGGGUGCUCUUGGUGCUGGAGACGCAGCAUGGGACAGGAUUGCCGCUUGGUACCACGUGGGAACUGGGCAUGCUGUACACUAAGUGAUUCUACAGUUAGCUAUGGAAAAGACACAUAUUUUAGGGAAGUAAUGUCUUGUAAUUUCAAAGAAUUACCAAUGUGUGUAUUUUCUUCUAGGUCACUGGGGAAGUUUCUUUCUUUCUUUCUUUUUUUUUUUUUUAAACCCAGUCAGUUCAUCUCUUCUUUGAUGUGAGAAAAACAGAAUCAGACCGGAAUCUUUUUUUUUUUUAAACAUACUUGCCAUUCAUAUAGGGUUCUUGCUGACCCUUUUAUCUACUCUGAAAUCAGAAUCCUUUAUGCUUGACGAGCGUGCUGGUGGAGCGCUAGCUGAGCCUCCUUGUGAAGCUGUUCUCCCCCUCUUCUCCAUCUGUCCUCCUAUUUCUGAGCACAGAUAAAAAGCCUGGUACUCAUUAGCUGGGCACCACUGCAGCCAGUCCGCUCGUGUUUCCUGGGUGUCCACAGCGCGCAUGGCAUCGCUCUAGGCACCUGUGAGAGAAGCCAAUGGCUCUGACAACUUUGCCCCAAGUCCCGGAUCCCUGUAGUGCUGUGAGGCUGUGUGGGCCUGGGGCAGAAUGGCAGCAAACAGACCCACCUGAUGGAGUGUGAGACAGCAGGGGGAUUUGGGAGGAGGCCGGAGAAGAACGGUUAGUAUUAGAAAGUGCGAGGGAUUUUGAAGAGGGCUACUUUAAAUUAAGUGUGGCCAUGUAGCUGUCCUUGCAGGGUGGCAGACACGUCCCAUUCCAGUGAAUUAAUAGACUAUAUAAAAGAAUCGCCUAACCAAUUAAUUCUUUGGCUAGGACUCAUGCUACAACCUAGCGGUUCUUUACACUUACUUUCUACUUAAGGAAGUCGGGUUUUUUGUUUUUGUUUUUGUUUUGUUUUUUCUCAUAUGCACUAGGAAGGUCUAGCUGAGCUACGUAGUAUCAAAUAACACGAGUGUUUGGAAUGCAUUUGAUUCUCUGUAAGCAUCAGUUACCCACAAAGUGAUAGAAUGGGUCCGUGUUCCCAUCUUCUUGUUAAGGUAAAGGGAAGUCCAAAAGUCUCCAAAUGAAGUGUCAUUACUCAUUUUCGCCUUUGCCUAAAAUAUCUUUGAGCUGAAUUUGGGAAAUUAAAAAAAAAAAAAAAAGCAAUUUGAUUUGUUGAGCUGGAGGUUCAUGGGUAAAUUUUUUCUUUCUAUUCUGUUUUCUCGAAAUAUUACCACGAGAGCUCCUCAAAGUAAAAACAAAACAAAACAAAACAAAACAAAACAAAACAAAAAACAAACCAAAUUCCAUGCUCUCUAAAGCAUGGAGAUUUUGUAAGUGAAAACACGACUUCUAGGGGCUAUCUUUUUUUUUUUCUUUUCUUUUCUUUUCCUUUUUUUUGGAGCUGGGGACGGAACCCAGGGCCUUGAGCUUGCUAGGCAAGCGCUCUACCACUGAGCUAAAUCCCCAACCCCUCUAGGGGCUAUCUUGAGAGUGAAAAUCAAACCAUGCCUGUCCCCGAAGACCCAUGGGACUCCAUUUCUUCUAUGAGAUUCUUUUUCUGAGCCACAGGCUCGGAGAGUUGGUGUUCAAGUCUUCUGGUCUCCAUGCAGACCAGACACAUGCUGAAAAUCACAGGUAUAGGAAGGGCUAAUGAUAACGAUGGGAGUUUUUACUUGAGUAUUGAUCAGAGAAACACUCCCUUGGAAGCUGCUUUAAGCACCAAUAGUGCCCAUCUCUAGCCUGCCGGAUAAGCAAACAGGAAGGGAAUUUGCUCUAGCUUGUAUCUAGAGUGCCUCCUACAGGCCUAGUGGUUAAAGGCUUCGUUUUCAAUGUGGCAGCAAUUGGGAAGCUUUAAGGGGCGGAGCCUCCUGAGAGCUUCCCAGAUAGCCUAUCCUUCCCUCUGAUCCUUUUACUUCCAGGUCAUAGGUCAUAGAAUAAGCUGUUUUGUCUCUUCCCCACGCUCAGGUGCUAUUGUACCACAAGCCGAGAAGCAAUGUUGUCAAUCAGCCUUCAAAUGAAACUUCUAGAACUGGGGGCCAAAUAAACCCUCCACUUUGCCAGUUGCUUAUCUUAGCAACUUGUCUUUGUGAUGCAAAGCAGAUUAAUCCACUCGAAGCACCAUUCUACACAUGGUCAGGCAGAGACCCAGUGACAGGAAGUCUAUAGCCUUAGCGGAAAGAGACCCAAAGAUUCACGAGCACUUCAGAUCUCCUUUGCAAACAGUUUCUGAACCAUCCGCACAAGAAAAGAUAUUAAAUGUCAAGGUUUUAUUGGCACGAGCCAUGCUCUUCAGGGAGUGAAGUGUAGGUGGCUGCUCAGCAUAUCAACAAGGCGAGGGAGAGCUUUCCUGGUAACCUGUGCCCGAUGAGGCCGGCAGCCCAGCCCUCUGCCCAGCGAGGCCAGCAGCCCAGCUCUCCUGGGCGCUCCCACACAUCCUCAGGAUGUGAACUGGACACAGGGGAGUGCCCAGUAACCACUUGCUGGCUGAUAGGUGAAAGAUGAUUUUGAGUUUUUAUUUCUCUCCUAGCAUCAAAGAGAAUAAAUCUGCAGUCUGAUCCAGAAUUGCAAUUUCUACAUGCGGUUUAUUUCUCCACUGACCCUGCACACCUCUUCCAAGGCUAAGUAGAAGGCAGACACCUAUAGUUCUCUUAGGUUAGAGCUUGCUCCCAGCCAUCAUUUCUGUGUUUAUUCACUAGAGCAUUAAUUAAUUAAGUCACUGAUUAUAUAGUCCCUAUCUUCUGCUAGAUACAGUGUUCUUUGCUAGAGAGAGAAAACGACUAAUCUUGAAGAUAGAACCUGCCUUAAGAUGUAACAAGCAUCUGAUGCUCAAUAAGAACACAUUGCAUGUGCACUGUGUGGAAGUCCCACCUUGCCUGGGAAUGGAAGUGGUGCUGCUGGAAGGGUAAGGGCUGGGCGAGGUUUUUUGAUGCAUCACUCUUCAGCCAUUGGCUGCUCCUUCCCAUGUCUCCUUACAGUGGGCUUGCUCCCACCAGAACAUCCUAGGAACACCUCUCCUGGAGCAGCUGACAUUUAGGCGAAGGGGAAGAGGAAGUGAAAAGUAUGCUUUUACUUCCGGGUCUUCUGAAAGAGAGGUCUCCCCUUGUCUCUAGUAGCAGUUUACAGAAUUGUAACCAGCCGUGGAGUAGGAGAGGUCUUCCACACAUUUUUUUCAAAAUGCAACUAGAUUGAUAAAUGUCAUCAAGGUGAUGAUGGUGAUGAUGAUGAUGAUUAUUAAGAAAAAUAUUGAAAUUGAAUGAAAUUUUUUUUGUUUUUGUUUUUGUUUUUUUGUUUUUUGUUCUUUUUUGGUCUCAGAGUCAUUCCUGAAAUCUUUAUAAAUAGAUGGAUGUAGGUCAGUGACAAUCAGAAAUGAUUUGCUCAGAUUCGGUGGCUUAUCCUAGCCCUAGGUUAAACUGUUAAUUUUUGAAGUUGUGCCUCAGGAAAUGGGCAGUCCUUCCCCCUUAAUAAAUGGGAUAACAAUGACACUCCCUUGUAUUUGUAAAUAGCCCUUUGCAAAGUAUCUUGCACUUGGCAAAGCGCUUUAAUGCUUCAAUUAUUUUUUUAAGAUGCCAUUAUUGAGUUUACUGAGUAUCCACCCCAUUUAUUUAUUGAAUAUUUAUUAAGCAACUAUUGCCAUUCUGAACACUAAAGAAUCAGAAUGGAAAAAUAAGACAAUGCCCUAACACUGAAGAAAGCUUAAAAUUAAAAAAAAAAUAUUUAUUUAUGUGUACAAAUGUUUCCUGCCUGCAUGUCUGUGUACCACAUGUGUGCCUGGUGCCCCAGGCGCUCCUCUGGAACUGGAGUUACAGAUGGUUGUGAGCUGCCAUAUGUGUGCUGGGAAUCAAACCUGAGUCCCCUGGAAGAGUAACCAGGGCUUUUAACCACUGAGCCAUCUCUCCAGGCCCCAACCUUUUGUUUUGAGAUAAUUUUAGAUUUAUAGUUGUUAAGAUAUUAUAGGAAGCUGUGUAUACUUUUGAUUCUCCUUCUUUUAAUGUUUAGUGUCUUAAAUUACCUUGUGAUAUUUUUGUUGAGGUUAAGAAAUUAAUACAGUACAACCCUAUUAACUAGACACCAUAAUCCAAUCCUGUUCCCAGCACCGUGCUUUCCCUGGUUCAGGAUCUACCCCAGUCUUUCACAUUUAUUUAGUUGCUGUCUUGGAAAGGAGUUCCUGUGUACUUUCCUCAUGUACAGGACAGGACAGGAAUUAGUAGAGAUUGUUUUUACAUGAAAGGAAAUAGAAAAAAAUAUUUAAGGAUAUGGAUAAAUAGACAAGAACCGUGAUCAAUGAAUGAUCGUUAAAACAAGGUGACACAAUGGAGAGUGACUGGAUGGAUAGGGGCACAUUCAGCUCUGAUCUCAUUAGUCAUGGCAAGACCAAGGGAAGACCAGGGCAGGGAGAGGGCACAGCUUCCAGAGUAGGAAGAAACAAGAACAGGACACUGUCAGACUGUCAUAUCCCUGCUCAAACCCUCUCAGCCCAGCAGAGGGAAAACGAGACUCUCAGUACCGGCCCAGAAACAUUGCCUAAUCCUUCUCCCUCCCAUUUCACUGCUCCCACCUCUCAAAUCCUUCCCCAUUCCAGCUCCAUCUCAACUGAGCAUUUUGAGCACACCUGGUACUCUCAACGCCAUACUUAAGCCUUAUAUUGGAUUCACCAUGUAAGGAAAUCCUAUUCUCCAACCUGCCUUCACAGUCAGCCAUACCAUGUCUUUUAAUGUUAUAAUCAAACAAUCUCUUCCAAGGGAUGCCUGCCUGUAUUGGAUAAUGUUAUGAUCGAAUGGUCUCUUCCAAGGGAUGCCUAAAUUGGACUUCUUAUGCAAAAGAGCAGUACGCCCUCACCUCUCAUAUCCCCAAACUGCCUAUCCAGCUCUUCUUCCCACAUUAGCUUUAAGUCUUCAAACACAAACAUGUGCCUGUAUACAUGUGUACAUGUGUGCUCACACAUAUUCAUACACACCUUAGUUUCCAGUAUUAGGUUCUCUAGACACUAGAAUACCAGCUCCUGGGUUAGGGGGAAAGUUCAGAGUACAUAAUUAUGCCCCGGGCACUUUCGUUAGUUAACUGGGUUCUUUGACAAGCGAAUAGGUGACUGUGACCCUUUAGUUCCCAUCUACUUGAUGCUGAUUUUUUUUUUAAAAAGGAGUGUUAGCACUCUUAGGCUUACAGGCUUCUUCCCUUUCAUUACAGCUCAGAUGUCUAUUGCCUAUUGUCUUCUCUACAUUGUUUGGUGACAAGAAAGAAUACUGUGGAUGUUGGCUACAAUCUUUGUAGAAAUCUCGAAAGGGGGGCCAAGUCACAUGGUCAGGGUAGGUGAAAUAAGUUGGGGAUAGAAAUCUCUGCCAAGUAACCAAAGCAUUGGGGCAGAAGAUAAACCAGUGAGGCAUAGCCUGCACCACUGUUGGGCCUGUUUUAUAGAUCAGGAGAUGGUGACAGACCAGUGCAGACAGGCACUCCCAGUGUUCUCACCUCCCACCCCCCGACUGUCACCCCCAGCAACUGCAACUAGAGCAUAGCAGUUUCUGUCCAUUCCCAUGGCUGACAAUGCCUUCUAGCAUAGUAUACAUCCAGACAGACUCUGGAAUAAAAGGGUUUCUUCUCAGGCCGUGGGUUGAAUAUCAUUCAUACAUACUGUGAAGGUUGGCACAUUCACACAGUAGGAGCUCAAGCACGUUUUUCAUGGGGGAACACAUAGAAUUCAUCAUGCCAAAUGGUGGAACUAGGAAUCAUUCUGGAUUAGUCAUUGUUUCAUUUCUUUGACAAAGGAGGUAUUGAACACACUGCUCAGACUUUGGCAAACCCUAGGAGGCAGGAAUGCAUUUCCCAAAUUGGAUUAUUUUUCUGAACUUGUUGGUCAUUAUUUCCUGGUUGACAUGUUUUGUAAAUCUGUCUAAAGAAUCAGCAGGGACUUAAGGGAGGUUAAAGGGAUUGAUGCAGGCUUGAAAUGAAGCCAGUUAUUCUACAGCUAAGGAAGCAAUGCUUUUACGAACUUAACCUUGAUUCCCCAGCUUUUUACCCAAGCCAUCAUUCUUUUACUUUCAGAAAACAAAUAAAAUACAUGUCUAUAUUGAAAAAAAAAGAAUCCCACAGCUACAAUAUUAAAGAUUCGUUGCAACUGAACUUUCCUUUUAAUUAAAAUGAACAUUAAAAUUAAAUAACCUUCAAUAACACCUUCAAUGUUGAUUAAGCUCGGUUUCUGCUCAAGAAAGCCAUGCGCUUCUAACCUGUUGGCAUUUGUCAAAAUAUUAAUAGUGAGAAAACUAUCCCAGGGAGGGUAACCUGGGCUUAGCUACUUCUAAACGUCUUUCAGAAAGUGUCCCGUAGCUGGGACUUUGAAAAGACGAGGGACAGAAGAAUUCCUUGGGUUUUCACUGCCUAGUUACAGUUGUCAUAGGCUUGUGAACUGUAAUCCUCGACAAAGGUGACCAAGAGAGAGUUGGUAUCAUCGUUUAUACAAGGUGGCCAAGAAUGUGAAAAUGGAUCUCAGUCCCCAUGUCAGUGGGGGUGGCAAAAAAUAAUUCUUUUUGCUCUGAAUUGUGGACUCUGACAGAGACACGUAGUGGGGAUAUGUCUGGCUGCCACUGGUUAUUGCAGAAAUAUCUCUCUUCUUUUCUUUCUGUUCCUUUCCUUUUUUAUGCCGGUCAGGAGGAAGGUGGUGCCCCUCUGUUAAAUCAAGUUGUCUAUUUCUGAGGCUGCCGUUUUACUUUUUCUCUUCCUUAAAUAAAGAAAAGACUUAAAGGUAACUAUUGGAGAAGACGACAAAUAAAGGUGAAGGGGGAAGUCACACUUGAAACCUUGCCUCUGUUCCAUAACUGCUGUCAUUUUCUUUCAUUUGGUCAGGAAUCCCUAGAAGUUGACGUUGUUAUAAAUUAUCAUUGUUUUCAUUUGGUGAGAGUCUAUGUAGUUUUUAAAGGUCGUAUAGAAAAACGAGAGCAUUGGUAUCUACAUAUUUGACACUAACUCCAGGAGUGAUGUAUUUGAGGUCAGCCCAUGAUGUAUGCAUCGGCAGGAAGGAAGGGUGGUUAGACGGUGUUAGUAGAUAGGAGGAGGCCAGGGUGGCCACUGGUAUCCCUGUGAUGAGUCAGACUGUUGUGACAGUCAUAAGACACUAAAUCUCUGAUUGCUGGCUUUGGGUUGCCUGCAUGUAUGCUUUCUGCACUAAUAGAGGGUGAUUCUGUUUGUCUGGGAUGCUCUCAUUCUAUGUCAGCCAUGUUCUUACUUCUCUCUUUGGAUCUCCCAGAGGGGCUGGGUGAUGGCAUAAUGGGUAAAAAGCUCUCUAUAUAAGCAGGAGGACCUGCGUUUGGAUCCCCAAUGCACAUGUAAAAGCCAAGUGUAGUGUUCUGUAAUUGUAGCAUUGAGGUCAGGGAAGAGGUGGAGCAGGAUGGGGAGUGGGAUCCCUAGGUCUUGUAGGGAUAGCUAGUCUAUUGAAAUGGGGAGCUCUAGGUUUGAUGAGAGACUCUGCUUCGAAAAGUAAGAGAAUAAUAGAGAAAGACACCAAAUAUCGAUCUCUUACUUCCACAUGUGCACGCGCACACACACACACACACACACACACACACACACACACACACACAUGAGUCAGAGGAUCUGGAUAUGAUGUGUCCUACUUCAGCUUCUGAAUUUUUUCAGGUUAAUCAGAAUAGGGUGAUAGAUACCUUCUCCGCCACAGUUGGCAUAUUGGGGGAUGUCAACAUGGGUUGUGGCACCUCUCUUUGCCAGACAGCUGUCCUUCCCACCAGACAGACAGGUUUCUAAGACCUGGGGUAUAUUUAUUACCAUGUCUAGUAUGAAUAGUCUACUGGGUGAAAGGGGAUAUUAGAUAGAAAGGGGAAAUUCAGAUGUUUUCUUUGCGGACUCUGGAAUUGGGAUGAGCAGCCAGCUAACUAGCCAACGAGUCCAGGAUGGUCUCGAUCUAGAGACUAUCUCAUGUAAGACUCUCCUCUCAGGUGACUUCAAGGUUGUGUCAGGGUGACAAUUAAAGCUGACUUGAACAGUCAGUCACCCUUGAGUCCCACGGCAUAUUUUAAAGGCCCCUUAUCGAGUUCUUCCGGAAGCUUACUUACCCUCAGUUGAGAGCAUUUCUGCGAUUUGCAUAUAUGUCUUACUAAAAUACCAUUAGUGAUUUAUACUCUUAAAGGACAGACAGGAUGCAUCACAGGCUGGCACAGUUUGUGUCUCAGAGUCUAAUCUCAUGGACCAGAUGUAGCUGUUUCCAUUCUAAGAGACAGAGAUACCAAUGAAUGGUCAUCUUCAAGACUGCUGCAUGUUUCCAGGACAGAAAAUGUAGCUUAUUGGUAGAGUAUUUGCCUGGUGAGGGGACAUAAUUCCCUGGUGUUGAUUCUCGUUAUGACAAAACCUGGUUAUGGUGAUGCUCACCAUAAUCCCAGCACUUCCUAGGUAGAAGCAGAAGGGCCAGGAGCUCAGCUUCUCCUUGGCUAUGCAGUGAUUUCAAGGUUAGCCUGGGAUAUAUGCAGCUCACCUUGCCAUUUUAUCUCUGUGCUGGAUAGUUUUAUAUCAACUUGACACACACUAAAGUCAUCUGAGAGGAGUGAACCUUAAUUAAGAAAAUGCCUUUGCAAUAUCAGGCUGCAAGCAGGCCUGUAGUGCAUUUUCUUAAUUAGUGAUUAAUAAGGGAGGGCCCAGCCCAGUGUGGGUGCUAUCCCUGGGCUGGUGGUCCUGGUUUCUGUAAGAAAGCAGACUGAACAAGCCAUGAGGAGCAAGCCAGUAAGCAGCACCAUUCCAUGGCCUCUGCAUCAGCUCCUGAUGCAGGAUCCUGCCCUGUGUGAGUUCCUGUCCAUGAAGUAUAUGCUGAAUAAACCCUUUCUUCCAGAACUUGCUUUUUUCGUCAAGGUAUGUCAUCAGAAUUACAAACACUAACAGGGACUAUCUCCUUUCCGCUUUGAGGAGUCAGGUGCUGCAAGAAACUGAAAAGCACUCAGGAGAGAGAGAGAGAGAGAGAGAGAGAGAGAGAGAGAGAGAGAGAGAGAGAGAGAGAGAGAGCAGCAGUAGGAAAAAUGAUGAGAGAGAGGAAGAUGUGCGGGGUGGGGCUUGUUCUGAGUGCUUUGGAACCAACUUGUUCUUUAAUUAAGGGAGGGGAAAAAACCCUUACCCUUCAGCUGGUAAAGAUGGCCCUAAGAAAAUUAAAAUGAUGUAAAUUAAGCUAAAUGAACACUCCACAAGUGCCACUAGAGCUCAGUGGGAUCCAGUGUUUGGAUGCCCCAUAUGUUUUAAAAGAGGAGCUGGCAAGUGCUUUCUGCAGCAUGUGACCAAGAGGGAGGCUAGAGGCCCAUGCCAGAUGGGAGUUACAGAGAGUUUAAGGUGACGUCAUCUGUGUUCUGGUUUUCUAUAGACUAGAAAAGAAACAGCCUAAUCAAUGAUGGUGGUGAUUCUCUGACUUCCUUCCUUGGGGUCGCCAAUGCAGAGAAAUCAGCUAAUUUGUAAUUAAAAUAUAUAAAAUAAAAUGUUUCAAAGGGAGUCCAUAGUUCCUAGUGAAAUAAUCUAUUUGCCACAAGGGCAAGGUGUGAUAGAAUAUGUGCGUGUCUGUGUGCAUGCAGGCUAAUAGCAUGUUGAUGGCAACGGGGCAGGAAGAAGCAAUUCCCGAUUUUAAUAGUAGCACAGGAUCACAUGCACACGUGCACAGAACAAUCUGAGCAUUAACUUCUGGUGUCACAUACAAAGAUAUAACCUCCUAAGGGUUCCCCUAAGGCAGGUACGAGAGUGACUGCUUACAAAGGGUAGACCCAGUCCUCAGCGGAAGGUCUGCAAGGUAACACGGGUUUAUUACAUACCAGUGUUCUGAUACUUAGCUAUCACCCUCAAUCGAUAUUGAUAUGGUGAGAUUACACAAGAAGAUUUUACCUCUACCACGACAUGGUGGUAAAAUGUCUUCAAAUCACAACACACAGAAGACUGAGGCAGGAGGAUUGUGAGUCAAGGCUAGCCUGGGCUCCAAAGUGAGACUCUACUUCUAUAAGGCUAUAAGGGAGAUAUGGGUGGACUAUGGGAGACAUGGAUAGACCACACUAACCCUUUAAUUUUCUGGGAAGUGAGAGGCUAAGUGGCUUGCAUCAGGCCGUCUAGACCUAGAGUGACCAUGUGCUUAUCAAUUUGCUCUAAUUUAUUUAAUGUUUGAGUUUUCAUGCAAGUAUAUUUUGUAUGUUCUCUUCCCCCUCCCCCACCUCUCGCUGAAUCUCUAGACAGUUUAAAUUCUACCUCUUGUCAUAUUAUACACAUAUGAUUAUAUGUAUUUCUAUAGAAUCUAGGAACCAUGGAUGAGAGAAAACAUAUGAUAAUUGUUUUCCCAAGACUGGCUUAAUUCACCUGAUGCAAUUCUCCAGUGGCACUAGUUUUCCUGCAGACAACACAACUUUGUUCUUUAGGGCUGAAAAAAAACCCCUUUAAUUGUGUCUAUUUAUAUCAUACUUUCUUUAUCCAUCCCUCUGUUGUCAAGCACUAAGGUUGGUUCUAGAAUUCUGCUAUUAUGAACAGUGUUUGCUGUAAACAUCGAUAUGCAUGUGUCUCUGCGAUCUGUUGACUUGCAGUCCUUGGCAAUCAUUGAACAGACAAGUAACACAGGCUGGUGAGCAGCUGUGCUAGGGGAACCCUUACACACCACUGGUGGAAUGAACACAAAUGUGGUCACUAGUGAGGGUCAUACACAGGUUUCUCAAACCAAGGUACUUCUGAGAGUGAAUGCGGGAGCUGUUACCAUUACUCUAGGUCUGACUGUUGCCAGGGCAACCAGGUGAGGUGAUUGAUUAUUCUGUUUCAACAGCUGGCCUUGGGGGAUGGGAACCAUAGCCUCUUCAUUGCUGCCAUUUGUAAGAAUAGCUCAACAACAGAGGGAUGGAUAAAGAAAGUAUGGUAUGAAUAGACACAUUCUGGGGACUUCGAAAGGCACCCCCUGGUGUCUGGAAUAGGGGAAAUAGGGAGGCACUUCCUCAACUGCCCUCCAACUCUAAAGUCAUCCCAGUACUCAGUCCUACAUAUGUUAGUCCAGUUGUGCUGUUGUAAUAGAACAUCUGAAGCUGACUAAUUAAUAUAAAAACUUCCUUUGGCAGUUUCGGAGGAUAAGAAAUCUAACAAUGAGGCUCUAAUGAAUUUGGUUGUUGGAUAAGGGCUAUAUAUAUAUUUUUUUCAGAGAUGGGUUAAGUGCUGUAUUUUCUCAUGGCGAAGGUGGAAGGACAGGGUGGUCAACCUUUUCAGGGUUCCUCAUUUAUAAAGCUCUUACUCAUACUCAUGAGGGAGGAGCCACAGGUAGUAUCUGAACUCUAUAAACCAUCACAAUGGGUACUAGGACACAUCACAGUCCUGACCACAUGCCCCAGCAGGAGAUAACACCUUUUGCAAAGACUGUGGGAUUUCUUCCUCUAGGCAGCCUUCCUUAGGCAGCAUUGAUGACAGCUCAAGGAAAAUGUCAAGCAGCAAAGUGUCCUGAGGGUUGAACCAACCCACAGUGGCUGAUGUGAUUUAUAAGACGCUCACUUCCUGCCUGGGUGCCACUCUGGGUUCUUGUUAGAUGGGGUGAUGCGCUGAAGGAGGUCUGAGGAAGCAUGUCACUGCUAAGGAAAGCUGCUGUUUGGAGCAGCUGCUGAAGGCAGGACCUUGGUUGGGCGGACCAUUUUGAAUCUUGAUUGUGGCGCUCUCUAUUCAAGUACUCUCUGUUUGUUCCAAUGUAGAGAAGCGUUCUCCAAAAGAAAAACAAGUCAACUUGACUGUCCAUGCUGGUUGAUAUUUUCCCCUGAGCAAUCAGUGAAGAAACAUCUGCCCACCCAGACAGAUCAAAGAAGUAAUUCCACCAAAGUCUAGCUUGGUAAACCACUACGUUUAAUUGGGGUUACUUACAAGAGUGUGAAUAACCACUAAAGACCAAAUGCCCCCUAUCCCAGCAAUCCUUAAUGGUGAAUAUAUCCCUGGAAAGAAAUGGGGUCUUAUGUGGUUAGUGAGCUGCCUUUUGAGCCUUCCCUCCUCUCUGUGGUGGGCCUUAGUUCCCAUGGUUAAUCACAGUUGCAGAGAAUCCAGGAGGCGGCAGUCAUCCCAUGUCUGGACGACAGCAUUCUACAGUGGUGUGAUAAAAUAAAAAGUUUGAUCAUGUCAAAGGUAUAGUGAUAGCUUAAUGAGCAGUUAAGUUACCAGGGUCAGGGCUUGGAAGAUUGAUGGUAAGGGGUCACAAGCUCUUUAGAGUGAUGGAAAUAUCUAUAUGGUUAUGGUGGUUCUUGUGAGAGCCAUUGUGAGACCACAUCACACCGUACGGUUGAAUGUUUGAAUAUUUUUGUUCAUACACUAAAUUCAUUAAAGCUGGGCAGGGGACAAAAAUCUCCUUCUAGUACAGGAAUCACUAUUUUUGUCUUAAUGAGGAAACUCAUGACUGAGGUACUAGGAAGUUGAGUAACUUGAUCAGUGUCCUAACUGGUAAGCAAUGGAGGAGUUAAACCCAGAAAUCAAUAAGCCUACCAAUUGGUACCUCUAAAAUCUUAACAGCUGCUCAUGCAAGCAAGUCACAGCUCAGCAUCUAGAGAGCACAUCGGCUCUCAGAAGCAGGUGUAAUGGACAGGAAACGCUUGACCCCUCAUAGUGGACCUUACCGAAAGAGCAUCUGUGCUGUGGUGGCCAUUCUGGUCUGUAUACAAUUAUUCUUUACUGAAGCAGACGUAGUGGUUUGCUUUGAAGCUCUGGCACAGGAGUACUGAGCCCCGGUGCACAGACCUGUGAUCCCUGGAGAGUUUCCCCUUCUGGCUGGAAGUGUGAUUUAAAAUCUCUAGGCUAAGCUCAUUUUGCCAAAUCGCCCCUGCAGGAUUUAGUUUCAAGGCCGACUCCAGAAAUUUCUAGCUCAGCAAAUACUAUUCAAAGCAAGAGAAUGUAUCCAUUCGAGCUACCUUUGAAACAGGAGUACAGUUUCUUGUGCUUUGGCAGGAAGCAGCAAACAUAUUUGUACACACGUUUACAGGUGUACCGCACCAUGCUUACUGCGUUUGAGCGAAGAGCGACCAUGGCAACGGCACACCUGUGCAUACCGACCCGGUUGCUAUCCUGCUCCUCUGUGUGGGGAGAGUGCACGAAGGAGCUACAGUCCCCAGCAAGCACACAAAACGACGUGGGUUGUAUUUCACAUCAGAUCGUGCAGUUUAGAGGGGGUAGGCUCCUGUCUCACUUUACGGUGGGGGUGGGGUGGCAGCAGUGUGCAUAAACUGUUUUGAAGCAGAACUCAGAGGGACCGAAAGAUCAUGUCAGGCCUCAGAGUAUGACAUUUAGUGUCAGGGGGAUUGGACUUAACUGUGAUCAAGGGGCUGCUUGGGGUCAGAGCCCGAGAUGUCUUCACUGACAAGCUUGAGUCAGAGAUCAGGGUUCAAAUCCCAAUUCUUCCCUGUCCCCGCCAGGGGCAGGGCUGAAAGUAGCACCUAUUGCCUCUCCAGGUUUCUUUUCUUCAUGCAUAAAUAGGUAAGAAUGAGGACUAAUUCACUCAUUUAUUGCACGGAUUAGGAUGAUCAUAUUGUACAACACCCAAUAGCAAAGUAUAUGCUCAGUAAAUUACAGCUGAUAGGAGUGGCCACACUAACCCAAGCAAUUAUUCUAACAUAUCUUAUCUGCAAGAAAUCUGAGUGCUGUUAGGCUGGCCAAUAAAGUAUUUUCUUAGUCAUUUAAAGGGCCCCUCCACAGGGAGGGCGUCUGUUGUCCUGCUAUUGGUGCUCGAGAGAUACCCUGAAACAUACACAGGACCAUCAUCCUGACUGAUCAAAAAGGCUAGAGGUGAUUUACUCAGAGCUCUUCCUUUACCAAGGCCUCACAACCACCAAAUAACAGGACAGGCUCUUGAGAUCGGAUACUCUGAAGUGAAAUGUCGCCCUGUGUGGGCGUGCGUGACUGACUCUUAGGUCAAUGCCCUUUCCCCUUCGAAUGCUAUCUCUGCUUCCCUCCAGCCUGCUUCCAGCAGAAGCUACCAUGGUUCUUGGAGAUUGCCUUAAUGAGCAGAUCCAAUGAAUAAUCAUGAGUGUGAUUCCAGUGUUGCCUGUUCAGCACUGAGCCAGGGAUAGAUUUAUAGACACUGACUCUGGCUGGUAUUUGGGGACGGAUAAUUACCCUCACUUACUAUAUCCUACACCGCUUUGCCUCAGUAUUUACUGCCCAGAAUUCUGCCCUUUUCCAACUGAUUCCGAACAGGAGCAUGCCACAGGCAGCUAAGUAGCAUAACUCAUUUGAGGUGACCGUAAAUCUAAGGCUUCCACCAGAAAUGAUGCAAAAAGAAAAAAUUAAUGGAACAUGAAAUCAAGUAAAUGGAAUUGAGUACAGUAAUUAGUUCAUAUUUUAAUCCUCAGGUCUGUUUAUUAUCUGUCAACUGGUGAGCAAUUAAGUCAGUGCCGUUGAGAUGAUUAGCUUUGUUUCAAAAGAGGUUUAUCGAUAUGUCAGAGCAGACGAAUCUAGGGGUUUUAAAUGGCUUUGUUUUGAAUUGCAGAGCAGUACAUUCGUAAGGUGGAUAGGCAACAUUAGUACCUAGAUGGCUUUUAUUUACUGUAACAGAGCCAUUCUGGAGGAUACUGGUGCAUGUGGGUGGGAAGACUCAAACUGUGCAGACACUAUUUAUAGCUCUAGGUUCUUUUAUUUUCCUGAGCAUGAUUGUGUGUAUAGAAUACACAUGUGUGUUCACAUGCAUAUGGUGCAUGUGGUGUGUGUGUGUGUGUGUGUGUGUGUGUGUGUGUGUGUGUGUGUGUGUGUUUGUAUGCAUGCGUGGGAGCCUGGAGUUGACACUGGAUGCUGUGUUGGCCAGUUUUAAUGUCAACUGAACACAAGAUACAGUCAUUCGGAAAGAGAAAAAUCUUAAUGGAGAAAAAACCAUCUCACUGGACUGCCCAUGGGGUAUUUUCUGCACCACCUCUGGACUCUGGUCGUCCUAGGUUUUAUAAGAAAGCAGUCUGAGCAAGCCAUCAGGAGCAAAGCCAGUUAGCAGUGUUUCGCCAUGACAUGCGCUUCAGUUUCUACCGCCAGGUUCCUGUCUUGACUCCCUUUGAUGAUGGACUGCGAUGUGCAAGUGGAAGUGAAAUAACCCUUUUCCUCCUCAAGCUGGUUUUGGUCAGGGUGUUUUGUCACAGCAGGAGAAACCCUCAAUAAGAGAAAUGUCUUCCUUGAUCACUCUCUGCUUUAUUUACUGAGACAGGACUCUUCCUGAGCCUGGACCUCACCGACUCUAGCUAGCCCAGUGAGCCAGCCCCCGGGGACUCCGUGUCUCUGCUUUCUAGGCGCUGGAAUUACAGAUAGCUACUACAUCUACAGGCAUUGUGGGGAGUCAAAUCAGGCCCUCAACUUCUCGGGGGAAGACUUCAUCCAGUGAGUGAUCUCGAUCCACAGCCCUCACUCUAAUUACUGAAUGCCACAAUGUGAUCAAUUUUUCCUUCUGAGACCCAGGGAAGCAUCGCCAUGGACCAUGUUUCCUGGUUUGAAUUUUUCUGAGCUUUAUUUUCUAUAUUUCUUGCAACCAAACCCUGUUUAUGGCUUGGCUUGACUCUAUUGGUCCUUUUUGGGAGGGGGUAACUUGGUGACUUCUACAUGUAUCUUUUGUGGGUAUUUCUCAACACUUAAUGUUUGUGAAUAAUUGGCCCAUGUCUUUGUUGUCUUGAGGCCGCAUCUAUAAAGAUGGCCUUCUGCUUGCUGAUGCCGGACAUGUGAUUUUGGGGGAUCUCCUUACUCUCUAUUGACUUACCUAAAUUACCUAAAAUGUCUCUUCAACUCCCGGGUUUGGUAGAACUAGAAAUUUAAUGUGACACAUUAAAAAUUGAAACUUUGUGCCAGGAAACUCAGGAUCUGCUCCUAGUUCUACCACGGAAUGUGAGUGACCUGUCACUUGCCUUCCCUGGCAUUUGGUGAUGCUUCUGCAGGUGUGUUGGAAGAGAUGGCCCCACAGGUGCUCCUGGCACAGCCACCCAUGUGGAGACUGAGUCCAGUGGCUUGUUUCAAGUCCGAGUCUGUACCUUAAAGUGGAAGACGUGACUUUUCCUUGAACCUCCUCAAGUGUUCACCAAACUGUUGACAUUGGGUCAGAACAACAAGGAAUAAGUCAUUCAAUCUCCAGCUUUGGAAAAGAUUUGGAAAUGAGAUUUUUUCCCCCCCAAAGUCUGGCUACUUCACAGCAGUACUAUGAACACUACUCACCCCUUUAGGUGUACUGUCACUGGCUUCUUUGCGAAGAUUUAUUAAUUUAAUUUAUGUAUAUGUGCCUGAGUGCAUUUAUGGGCACUACAUGUAUGCAAGUGCCUGCAGAGGCCAGAGGAGGGUUUCAGGUCUCCUAGAGCUGGAGUUACAGGCAAUUGUGCUGUCUGAUGCUGGAAACAGAACAGAGUCUCUGCAAGAGCAGUGAGCGCUCUUAACUGCCGAUCCAUAUUUCUAGUUCUCUUUCACCGCUUUCUAAAUAAACCCAGACCUCUUUCAACACUUGUAAAAUGCUGACAAUGAUGGUUGCCAUGGUGAUGGUCAGGUCUGAAGCUGAACCUCAAUCAAAUCGCAGUUUUUAAAGUUUCUGUCUUUAAAUUUUACCUUGCGCUACAGCAACUCCCUCCUUGCUUCUGGGAAACAAUAGGAAAGGAUAUGUAAGUCCUAAGAAAGAGGAUGGUAGCCAUCAUAAUGUCAUCCUAGUGGAUAGACCAGAGCUACCUAUAGGUUAGGAUGGGGUGGGUGGGAUAGUGACACAGUAGACUGCCAUCAAAGGCCCCAUUGGGAGCAUCUACAAUUGACAACCCAGGAAGUUGCUCAAUGAGCUGAGCUCUCCUUCCCCAGCCAUAAACGUAAAAAUGUCCCAAGAAAAGCCACACGGAUCGGUCACCACCCUCUUGCAGUUGUAUUUAUUCUGUGCAUGGUCAGCAUCAGGGAUCUCAAUUCCUGUUUGCUAGGCUCUCAAAGGCCUCCUUGCCCAGUCUGGGUAAGAUUGCUUCGUGGAGCUUCAGACUUUGGUUUCUAGCACUGUCAGAGACAAGCUCCCUGCCUUGAUCUGGGGAGUGAUUCCAGGGCUGAGAUGAAGAAUUGAAAUGAAUUAUUCUAACACACUUGCUCUCGGCUAUUCCAUUGCUCUUCCCAGGUGCCCAGAAGAAUUCACUUACCUUGAAUUUGUGAAUAAUUUAACAUCUAAAUUCAAAAAAAUCUCUGUUAAUAUUGACAUUAACUUCAUUAGGGUUGACAUUAUGACUAUAGAAUUUUGAUUAUGACAUAUUGGGCAUAAUUUAGGCACGUUGAAAGCUCUAGUCUACAUUAUCUUCAUUUACUCCUUCCAUUUCUUUGUUCAGCAGUAUUUACCCACAGCUCAUUAUGUACACAGGGAGGUAUUUUUAAGGAGUACAACCCACUCUGGGACUGCCAAGAAUUAACAGUCUAAUCGGAAGACAGGUUAUUCGGCUAGAUCACAGGCUCCUUAAAGACAGCCGCCAGCCCCAACCCCUGGCUUUGCAGUCUUCAGAUUUACCUACUGAGCUAGCACCAGAGCAAGGCAAAUAGCCAUCAGUGUGGAGUUUGCAGAGAAACCUUGGCACACCCUCAGCAUCGUAAUAGCAGAAGUUCAGGAGUUGAAUCUAGCCUUGACAUUCUUGUUUGGAUGACCUUGGACCUUCAUCACCCCAGGUGAGCUCACAUUAAGAGCAAAGUCAUGGAACUGAUGCUUGCCCAUUCAAAGAGAAUUCUUGUCAGUGUACUUUAAGAGAGAGUUUUGAUUUUUACCACACAGAGUCAAUGACAGGAGGACCCAUAAGCUCUCCCUCAGCCCCAGCACUCUUGCACAAGCCCACACUGUUUCUGCUAUUGUGUAAAUGCUCGAAGUUCUCUCCCACUCAGGGCCACUGUGCUCACCUAGAAGGUCCUUCCCUUGAUUAGUCUCCCUGUCAACCUAACAAAUACUGUUCUCUCAGUGAGACCCAGGCUGGCUACCCUGUUUAGACUUGUACCUCGUGUCUCCAAGCUUGACCCUUCGUCUCCUUUCUCUGUUGUUUAAGUCCUCAUAGCCUUUGCUCUCUUCUGAUGCUACAGAUGGCCUCAUUUAUUCUUCCCAUUAUUCCUGAGUUGUCUCCCUCCACUGGAUGGGAAACACCUCAGAGAUAGGGAUGUGGCUGUCUUACUCACUCUUGCGUGUGAUAGUCACUGUCUGUUCUUUGGAGGAGAUGAACGGGAGUUAUUUGCAAAGCAGGUAGACAGUGGCCAGGUAUUUUCAAUGACAUUCUGAAGCCAUUUGUGAGUCAAGUCUGUGUCUUGUCCCUCUAAUGGAUCUGAAGUCCCUUCAGGGUGACACUGUUUAAUCCUCCUACGUCUCCCACCAUAUAAAGGGUAGGUAUAGAUUGGUACUUCUAGAGAAAUUCCUUAGUAAUAAUUACCAACAAUUUUCCCUCUCCCCCAAACCCCGAUUUCUAAGGGCAGUUGAAGCUUUCAGCAACUUUUACCCAAAUAUUUCAUCUUUAAUCAAUCAAUCAAUCAAUCAAUCAAUCAAUCAAUUAAUUAGUAUUCUAUGCUUGGGGAUGUUUGUCUUGCAUACACUUGUGUGCACCAUAGAUAUGCCUGAUGCCCAUGGGGCCAUAAGAGGGCACCAUCUUGCCUGGAACUGGGAUUCUGAACAACCCUGUGGGUGCUAAGAAUUGAACCUGGGUCCUCUGGAAAAGCAGCCAGAGCUCUUAACUACUGGGCCAUCUCUCCAGUCCCUCCAUCUUCAAUUUAAAUGCCUUUGUAUAUUUCCUGUAUAGUUAACACAAGUCAGGAUUUCAGUCAAACAAACAAACAAACAAACAAACAAACAAACAAAUAAACAAACAACAAACCCUGCUCUAAUGUUUUUGUUUCUUGGACACUGACAGUUGAUUGAGUUGUUCAUUCAGUGACUGUUUUACAAACAUAACUUACUGUAUGUUGGACAUUGCAUUAGGUACAUGGUAUCUCUGGAGGAAUAGCUCUUUGCUUAAGAAGUUUAUUCAGAUGACUUUAUCCAGUGAGCACGUGUUGGCUGGCCUCAUGUGCUCAGUGUACAAAGUGCUGAGACUGCAGCUCUGACCAAACAAAAAUUCCCAUCAGACGUGAGAAAAAAUAGAUACAAGACUCACAGUGAUUGGUGACAUUAUAUUAGUUGGGCUGAGCAUAUUUUUUAAAAAAUCUAACAGUAUUUUGAUCUUUUGCAGGCUACAUAUGAUCUCUGUUGAUUACUACUUCUGAUACUCUCUUUGAUUAUUUUUGCAAAGGAACUUUUAGAAAUUUAAACCAUUCUUAGCUCCUGGGCUUGACUUGACCUACAAGGUAAUGCAAGGCCUCCCAUUCAGGGACAUACAACUUUCUCUGCAAGGCAAGAAGAGGCAGCGCCUGGGGGAGAAAGGAUCUUGGGAAGCUAGAAGAGGGAGACUGAGGUAGACGAUGGCUGUAGAGAUGAGUCUGACAUAACAGAGGGAGGAGCUUUUGCGUGGCGUACACCACACAGUAGCACUUCCAUGUUUACUAUCCACAUUCUUAUUACACGUAUGUAUCCCAGUUCUUAUUUCCCCUCAAUCUCUAAUUGGGCCAAUGAAGUAUCUUUACCAGGGGGUCCCUGUGGAACAUCUGAGUGCUGGACAGUUUGCCUUUACUUCCCCUAAUCCUACCAUGGGCUGUGCUUACUGGCACCCUGGUUCUCAGUUAUUGCUCCUUAGCUCUUCCCACACUCUAGUGCAUGCCGGGACAACUUGGUUUUGGUUGCUUAUGCCUACCAGUUGUGUGUUUAUGUGGAGCAGUCUCUCAAGGAUGCAGAUAAUUGGUUCCUUGAAGAGAUAGAGCCUGCAUUGUUUGUUCCUCUUCCUGAUCACGAAAGUCUCUUUUCUGAUUCAGAGACACAAAACAUAAGCCAUCUUAUAUUUCACCUGUGGUUUUUAGUCUCCCUCUUUAAUGAAAACUAUAAUCUACAUCACCAUAGCAACACCUAUGGACUCUUUCCUCCCUGUCUUUUGAGCAGAACUGGAGACUCCAGAGACUCCCGAGGCUGAGAUCCAGGAAGGUCAAUGCUGCUACUUCACCUUCAGAGGAGCCAUGAGCAUGGCCGUGUGAAGGGCUGCUUGUCGUUCUUUCUUAUUAUGAUCCGAGAUAGCUAUCUCAUCAUUUUCUCUCGGAAGAAACCUUAAAUAUAGCCACACUAUUAGUGUGUACAACCCUGUACACACACACACAUGUGGGUGUAUUCAACAUAUGUACACACACACACACACACACACACACACACACAUUAAACAUAUAUUUUCCCUAAUAGACUUGUGGCACUUCUGAGUAGAAAUCGGGUGCUGUUUGCUCAGAGCCCAGCACACAACAGGAGCACAGUAGCCACAGAGAGAGGAGAAAAUGAAUCAGAGAUCUGGCCAAAGGUGUCCCGUGAUGUGGCUAGUGCAGUUUUCAGGGUACUAUGUUAUCCCUAGGGAAUGAAGAACUCAAAGGAGGUUUUGAAGAUGAAAUUGUCCCGUUUCCCUCAAGUAAGAGAGAUUUUUUUUCUUGCCUAGUCUCACUACUGGAACUUAAUCUACAAACAUGAUUCUUUCCUAAUAUUAUCUUUUGUUUCAUCCUACAAAUAACCCACUUUAUACUAGAUAUUAAUCUCAGCACUUAAAAUGAUUAGCAAGCUAAGGAGCUUGAUUAUUAAAAACAGUUAAUCCCUACCUUUUAAAAAAUUGAGACAUUUGAAUCCCUGAAUACAUUCAUUUAUCACCAACCUCCAAUCAGGCAUCCAGGAAUUCUUCAUGUAGGACAUGAAUAAUUUUAACAGAAAAAAAUGCAGUUGCUAAUGGUGUCUUACAUCCACACAGUUUUAUAAAACAAAGCAAAUGAUUACCAUCAAUUAUAAUAACCUCACUAGACAAGGCUAUGCCUAACGUACAGCUCUUCAGACAGUAGCCACUGCAGUAUGCCAAGGAAAAUGCGUGGUAUUAAUUGACUCAUCAUGAUCGGCAAUAAUAGAUGGAGUAGACGGCAAUGGAUUACUCACUGUCAGCAAAAUAAACACAUGAUCUGUUGCAAGAGGUGUCUACUUGGGUCCUCUCAAAGGACAGCCAGAAAUAGAGACCAAGGGAGGCUUUGAAGGCAGUACAAAAGAAAUAGGAAAAGUUAAGCUAAGGGGUAAUAAAUAUUUGCCUUUCCUGAGGCUAACUGGAAUCUAACUGGAAGGAGUUUCUGGAAGGAAGUUGUGGACUGUGUAGAGUUUAGUAAUUAGAAGGUAUGUUAAAGCUAAUAGUUCACCCAUUGUUUAAGAAGUGUUCAGGGCUUAAUAAAUCUAGUGACAGGAGUUCGCUAUUCUCAGAAGCAAACUCAUUUCAUUGAUAGAUAGCUCCCAUUGUUAGAACACAUAUUAAGCUGAAUGUCUCCUGUCUGCUGUUUCCACGGUUGGCCCUAGGUCUUUCCCUUCAUGUGACAUAGGUGUUCAAUUCUUCUUGUUCACUAGGGAGGCUUUAAUAUCUCAAAGGCCAACUGGGUGCACAGUGAUCUUCAUAUGAAAUUAUUUUGGAGCCUCCAAAAUGCUAUAGAAGCACUAUGCGCUGGUAAGCUUACAUGGUGCAUGCAAACUGAGGGAUAUGGAAAGAAACAUACGGACAUUAGUGUGAUCUGCCCUGGGUGGCUAUACUUAUGCUGAGGGUGAUACAGGCUUCAUUGCAGGUUGGGGUGUAUGUGUGCAUGCAUGUGUGUAUGUGUGUGUAUUUGUAUGUGUGUGCAUGUAUGCGUGUGUGCACAUGUGUGUAUGUGUAUGUGUGUAUAUGUGCCUGUAUAUGUGUGUGUGUGAGUGUGCAUGUGUGUGUGUUUGUGUGUGUAUGUGUGUGUGUGUGUGUGCUGAGAAAGCUGUAGCCCAAGUCUGUGUGUGUGUGUGUGUGCUGAGAAAGCUGUAGCCCAAGUCUCAUCAACCCAUAUUGUACCCCAGUUCGCCAUUUUCAAGACAGUUACUACUAGAAAAAGAGACUUCUCUAGCUGGCAUGGCGGCUGCUAACCAGUAUGCCCUGGGAAUUUUCCACAAUUGUGCAGACCCAGAGCACACUGCCCAAGAUGUAGGUUGGUUUGCUGCUCUGUGUAAAUGUAAUUGUUAACGAACACUCAAGAACAGACAAGAAUGCUUCGUAAUCAGAUUCUCCCGGGAAUAUUUAUUUAUUCAUUUAUUUACUUAUUUUUCUGAGAUAGGGUAUUGCUGUGUAGCUCAGGCUAACUUCAAACUUAUGACCAUCCUGCCUCUGCCUCCCUAGGGCUGGUAUUCCAGAUGUCACCAUGUCUGUCUUUCUGGGAACUUUUAAACAUAGAUUCUUUAAAAUACCUAGUCCCUGUGGCCUGUAACAGGUCUUGGAAGACUAAUAUGCUGAGAUUAAAUUAUUAUGUAUCCAUUAAGGCCUUGAGAUGUAUUCAAAUUCUAAGUUGUUAAUGUAUAUGUUACAAAUUACCCUCCUUAAACAUUGAAGUAACCGAAGCAAUGGGGUAAAGAUUUUAGCCUAAUAGCCAUCUACAUUUUACCCACUCACUUAAAUAAUGUUUCUAAUUAGAAGCAGUGCCGUGGCAAGCACUGAAGUAGGACAGUCCAGGGGGAGAAAAAAAAACAAAACAAAAAUAAAACGAGGAGAAAGUAAGUCAACUGAAAAGUCACAGCAAACUUUAAAACACAUUACCAUAAGGAAGAGUUUAUCUUUCACGAUGCCCUACUUGAGAUUGACCUUUCCCCUGCCCCUUCCGGCCUCUCCUUAUUGUGAAGUUUUGCCCUACUUUGCUUAUAUUUCUUGCCAUGUUCUAGUUCAGGAGAGUUUUCUUUUACUUGGUUCCUUUUCAGCAGACAUCCUUAAUCAAUCCUAACAUGCCUCCCCCUACAGAGAGAAUCUCAUACAGCAGCUGGAGCCCAUUGUCUAUGCAGCCAUUAUUAAUACAUGACCGAUCUCCGUGCACUGUCUCGAGAACACAGUGCCCUGACAUGCCUGGAGGCCCCUUUCUCAUCCUAUCCCUCAUUCCCUGCUUUAUCUUUCCUUUUAAUCUAUCGACCACGUACUCCUUACAUCUGGGAUCCCACUAAAACAUUAAAACAUCUUUGAGAGGUGUCUAAAUUGUGCCUUAGAAGGAUCAAGUGAUGUCCCAAGAUUACAUGGUGUGUAUCAAAGCAGGGCUACAAAUUCGGGUCCUUUGACUCCAAAGCUGAUGUGUUAAAAUUGCUCUCUCUAGCUUCUCCCCACAGCUCAGUUCAAAGGGCACCUUCUGUGUGAAGCACCUCCUGACCCUUCAAGUAAAAUGUGUCAUUUUUCUCUUUUUCUGAGGCUGCCAGGGCCUUUGUACAUCUCUAUUUCAGCAUGCCAUUAUAGUUCAAGGAUUUGAAUAUAGUUCCUUUUGAACUUGUCUGGGGCAAGAACUCUUUUCUUCCUUUUUCAUUUUUAAAUCCUUGUAUCCCUAGUAACGAGUUGGGUCCCUAAGCCGACUCACAGUCAAUGUAUUUUGAAUGUACAUCAAAAUCUGGCUAAGGGAUUUCUUAAACUCGUGGCCUAUUUGAUAACAUAUGACCUUAGGGCAUUAAAAAAUUGCCAGGUUUAACCAUGACCUUAAAUAGCAAAAUAAACAGACCCUAUAUAAUCUACACUUUUGAACUUUUGAAGUCUUUUUGACAUCAGUGAUUGAGGAUUCUUACUAGGAACCUGGUUGUUGGCUAUUUAUUAUAUGAGGACUCUACUCCUCAUGCAUAUAAAGAGUGAAAUAGGUCAAGUGUCGCCUCACAGAUGAAAUCUGGUUAAACCGUAUCUCUUAUCUCAUCUGAAACGGCUGUUAGCUGCAUUGUUUUGGUUUAUUUUUUGGUCUGGGCUGUUGGUGGCACUCACCAUCAAUGGUGUGACACAGUGGAAUUUCCAUGCUGUAGAAUUUCAGGCAAACUCUUCAGUUCCUUGACAUUGAUUUCACAGUGCGUCAUAUAUUCAAGUAUAUAAGACCCACUUUACCAGAGGGAUGCUAUGCUGUCAUACAGGAUGCAAGAGAAGCUGGUUCUUCUCAAAGAGGUAGAAGUGAAGAGGCACAGAAAAGGAACUGUAGAAGAGUGGUUCCCUACCUGUGGGCUAUGACCCCCCCCCACAGGGUUGAAUAUCAGAUAUUCUGUAUAUGAGGUAUUUACAGUACAAUUCACAAUACUAGCAAGAUUACAGUUAUAAAGUAGCAACAAGAUAAUUUUACUGUUCUGGGUCACCACGGCAUGAGGAAUUCUAUUAAAGGGUCUCAGCGUUGGGAAGGUUGAGAAACACUAGGACAUGCCAGGGCAUGAGUCUCCCUGCUAGCGUUUCAAAAAGAAAUAUUGUUUCACUGUAGCCUCUUCUGGGAAACUGAAGACCACAAGGAAAAGGAGAAAGGUACCAGGGAACCUUCCCAUCUGUUAUUUCGUUGUUAUGGAGGCAUGGAAUCCUACAAGUUGGCCGUAAGCCAUUGCACUUUGCUAGGUGCACUUACCUCCCCAGAGAAGGCCUGUCCGUUGAGGAGGUGCUCAGACCCUUGGCUGUCCUCACUUCCAAAGUGUAGCCGGAUCUCUUCCAGGCGGUGACUAUAUGUCAUGGGCCCUCCUGAAAUAUUGACCAAGUGCUCCUUGUCCAGGCGGAGGGACACAUGCCUUCCAGUGUUGUACAUCGUCCCACUGACCUACAAGGCAAUGGGAAACAGGUUAGACAAGCAUUUCUUUGUAUUUCUUCCCAAAUCCAGAAAGGUGCCUGGCAGACCCAUUUACAUCUCCUGAUGACACACCAGGCUAAAUCUAUGUGUGCAGAAGGAAGUGAAGAUAUCUUCAGAGGGUUUUCCUUCCAUGCCUGCCUUCUAAGAAGGAUUCGCUUCCAUUUCCCUUCCACUCACCUUCCCUUUCCAGAACCUGGUGGAUUAUAGUGGGACUUGUGAAACAUCCUCAACCUCUCCUCUCAGAGCCUACCUGAAGCAUCCUGUGGUGAACAGAAGAAUAUUUCCAGUCACAUAUGUGGAUGUGCAGUACCACAAAUAGAGUUACUAGAAUAAAUGGGAUUCCUACUGUAUUAAAGAAUGUAUUAAUCCUACUGUAUUAAACAAUGGCCAUGAGACCUGUG